AUUUGAAACUAGGGGUGUCCAAUUAGUUGGGCUGAGAGAGAAACACAGUGAAGUUUCUUGACCCUUCGGACCUGAUCUGGUUCAUACCAGCGUGGGGAAGUUAGAGCAACAAUAC
rnacentral:ncRNA from 1 species